rnacentral:tRNA from 1 species
UCACUCAGCCAUCUCUCC